GUGGCCGGCACCAGUGUAGCCACACAGCGCGCAGGGGAUUGCUAAUGGUUUAGCGUUAGCGUCCCUCUCUCUGUUUCCAAUUUUUUAUUUAUGUUCAUCUUGCAAUGCAUUGUUAGUUAUCUCUAACAGUCCAUCUUUUCCAUCUCUUCUUGCAGAUCUAGAGAUUUCAUCCAAGUCUGUUGAGGUUUCUCAUCCUCUCUCAAGUGUUCCUCCCUCUCUCCUCCUCUCAUUUUUCUUGUUUUCCAUUUUCUUAUUCAUAUUUUGGAUUAUGGUUUAGGGUUAGCUUUCGCCUCUCUAUUUCUUUUUUUAUUGAUGUUCUUCUUGCACUGCAUUGUUAGUCACCUCUAACAGUCCAUCCCUGCUGUGUUGUGAUUUUUCAUCGUGUUGAGAUGCAUCGGCCGCGAAACGCUUGGUGGAUUCAAGCAGAUGGUGCUGAAACUCGUAAGACGCUGGAAGGACAGAGACAAUUCAAUAUUGACUUGCAUAAGGCGCAACAAAGGCUCAGAACUGCACGAAACAAUGCGCCAAACCUGACGAAGGUAACUGAGUACAUUUUUGCUUUGCUUAAAAAUACCAACAGUUUCAAUUUAGUAGUGCUUAGCCUAAAAUGCCAACUACUACAUUGGUUGAAUGCAACUUUUUUAGUGCUUAGCGUAAAAAUGAACUCCAAUUUAGAAGUGCUUAGCAGUUAGCGUA